AUCAAACGGAACUUAAGAGAGAGGACUUAAGGAAUUUGGCAAGUAGGCAAGAUGCAACAUUUGUUAGAUGGUUUGAAUCACGAAUAAAUCGCUUGCAUUGUGAAGGAAAUGGAAGUGUUAGCACGGAACUUCUACAUUUAGCUUGUGGUCCAAAUAGAAUGGUGACACGUUAUAGUGGUUAUAUUGUUAAUGGCUUUAGGUUUCAUACAUACAAGCAUGAAAUGCGACGACGAACACAAAAUAGCGGAGUUUUUGUAAAAGGUGAUGAGCAAUCUGGAAAUAGAGAAUACUUUGGAGUUUUGAAGGAUAUUAUAGAAUUGGAAUAUGAAGGGGGAAACAAAAUAGUACUUUUCAAGUGUGAUUGGUGGGAUACAUAUAAUGAAGGAAGGGGUUACAAGAAAGAAGCCAAUGGAAUGAUCACUUUUCUAAACUUCAGUCGACACUUGGCGACAAAUGAGCCAUAUGUGUUAGCAUCUCAAGUAGAACAAGUGUAUUAUGUAACAGACAAUAGAAAUCUUGAUUGGCGAAUGGUGGUAAAAACAUUACCUCGUAACUUUUAUGAUAUUCCUAUUGUUAAUGAGGAAGAGUCUAGUGAUGAUGAACCUGCUUGGGAUAAGAAUACAACAUUGGAUUCCCUACCUGACUAUGUUAUUAGCAAUGAUGACACUACCACACUGUUAAAUCGUGAUGAUGUUACCGGUCUUAUUAUUGAGAAAGAUCAUCUAUUACACAAAGUAAAUGAUGAUAGGCAUAUUGAUGGUUUUAUUGAUGAUAAUCAGGAAGAAGAGGAAUGGGAAGAAAGUGAAGAAGAUGAUUUGGAAUAAUAGUGUCAUGGCCGGCAAGUAUAAAGAAUGGAGUAAUCGGACUAGACUUGGCAGCACAAUGAUGCGUAGGGUGCAAGAGGCUUGACCUGAAAUUCCAUCAACCGAGGAGAUAGGGGAGCAUCGACCCCGAAUAGAGAUAAACAGAUCAAAUCACCAGAUGGAGCAAACUAAUGGACUUGAUGUACCAAAUAGCAGUAGUGCAGCUUCAUGUUUUGAAAGAAAGCGGACACGAGGAAAAACUAUAGGUUUGAAGUGGGUGAAAAAAAGGAAAGAAGAAAAGACCAAACCUGGAGUUGAGAUGCCUAAAGAUUUACAACGUGCAGUGGGUACAAAUGCACAACAGUUUAUUACCGAAACAGCUCAAAUUGUUAGACAGCAUGCUCCUUUAAAUGUAGAGAAGUGGAGUAAAAUACCCUUACAUUCCAUCGAUAGGAUGGUGAAAAUUGUUCAUGAGAAAUUCACUCUUCCAAAUCAAACUUAUGUCCUUGGAGUCAUUAUACACCAACUCCGAAGUCAUUUCAAUAGUUGGCGUUAUGACUUGCACCGAUUUCAUUACAAAAAAUACAAAACAGAUGAACAAAGGCGUGCUCACUGCCCUAGUGACAUUGAUCCAGAUCAGUAGAAUUGGCUCAUAAACUAUUGGAGCGAUCCGAAAUUUAAGAAAAUCAGUGAAGUAAAUAAAGAAAAUAAGUCGAAGCAAACGAUGCUCGCUCGUGUUGGUACAAAAUCUAUUGCAAGAAAUCUAACUGAAAUGAGAAAGGACUUAGAAGAAAAUGAACAAGAAAACAAUGAAAUAUCGGAACAACCUGAAUAUAUGAGGUUAUGGGAGAAAGUUAGAAAGAAAAAGGACGGAACAUGGGUUGAUACAAAUGCUAAGGAAAAAUAUAAGGAAAUGGAAAAUCUUCAUACAACUCAAAUGCAAGAGAAAGGCGAGGAUAUUCUGACAACUCGUGAAGCCUAUACAAUUGUACUUGGACACAGAUCUGGAUAUGUUCGGGGUAUGGGUUCAGGCCCUGAGCCUUUAGAAAAUGGCGGUCUGAGGGGACAAUGGCUUCGUGCACAAAUACAAGCAGAGAUCGAGGUUGAGAUGACAGCUCGAAUUCAAGAGGAGGUAGAGGCAUGCAUGGCACAAAAAGAGAGUGAGGUACAAGCUCAAAUAGAGCAACGAGAGGCUGAAGCAGAGGCUUGUUUAGCUCAAAAAGAGGCACGAUUGGAGCAAAUGGAAGCCCAAAUGCGUGCUGUUAUGCAGCAUUUAUCGGAAAUUGGGAUGCUUUUAUCUUCGCAGCCAACAUCCGCUAGUCGUUGAUUAAACAAGGCAUAUAAGCUUCAUGGAUUUCAUUUCCAUUUGUCUAGUGGUUUUGAAAGGGGAACAACUAAAGACUUGCACAUUUUGAAAAUACUUAAAGCAUCUUCAUACUUAAAGCAUCUUCAUAUUAUGUUUAAAAAAAUCUUAUAACUAGUUGUAAAAGUGGUAUAAUUAAACAAUUUGUGUAUGUUGGAGAUGCAUGAAGCAUUUUGUAUGUUUUGGAUAUUAGUAAUGGAUUUGUGUAUGUUGGAGAUGCAUGAAACUUUUUGUAUGUUUUGGAUAUUAGUAAUGGAACAACUUGUUUUAUUGAUA